CUACAGAGGGUGCAAGCGUUAAUCGGAAUUACUGGGCGUAAAGGGCGCGUAGGUGGUUUGUUAAGUCAGAUGUGAAAGCCCCGGGCUUAACCUGGGAACUGCAUCUGAUACUGGCAGACUAGAGUGCAGUAGAGGAAAGUAGAAUUUCCGGUGUAGCGGUGAAAUGCGUAGAUAUCGGAAGGAAUAUCGGUGGCGAAGGCGACUUUCUGGACUGUAACUGACACUGAGGCGCGAAAGCGUGGGGAGCAAACAGGAUUAGAUACCCGGGUAGUCC
rnacentral:rRNA from 1 species